rnacentral:lncRNA from 10 species
GUGUGUCAUCACAAACACUUAGCAUCAGCAUUUAUUUUAUAUUUUGAGUCAUUCUGAAGGGUGUGUGUUGUGCACAUCAUUAUGUUUUUCAUGUUUGUUACCUGAAUGACUAAUAAUAUUAAGCUUCUUUUUAUGUGUUUAUUUGCCAUCUGUAUAUCUUCUUUGCUGAAUUGUCAUUUCAAACAUUUUGCUAUUAAAAAUCAGGUUUCUUUUUUCUUUUUUCUGUUUCUUUUAAACAUUUCCUGAAAAUUUUCAGUGUAACAUCUAUGAAAUCAAAGGAUGAAGAAGAUCGUGCCCAGAGCUCUCCUUGGGGGUGGAUGACAGAAUGAACAUUUACUCUGGGCUCACUGGAAAAGCUCCAACGUCUUGGAAAUUGAGUGGGUAAGCACAACCUUGAGCACAUUGUCAGCAUUCCAUUUCUUUUUUGAAUAAGAAUAUGCAGUUUUACCAAUAUCAUUGGUUCAAGAGGCUUU